rnacentral:misc_RNA from 1 species
GAUGAAGAACGUAGCAAAAUGCGAUAAGUAAUGUGAAUUGCAGAAUUCAGUGAAUCAUCGAAUCUUUGAACGCACAUUGCGCCCGCCAGUAUUCUGGCGGGCAUGUCUGUUCGAGCGUCAUUUCAACCCUCAAGCACAGCUUGGUGUUGGGACUCGCGUUAAUUCGCGUUCCCCAAAUUGAUUGGCGGUCACGUCGAGCUUCCAUAGCGUAGUAGUAAAACCCUCGUUACUGGUAAUCGUCGCGGCCACGCCGUUAAACCCCAACUUCUGAAUGUUGACCUCGGAUCAGGUAGGAAUACCCGCUGGACUUAAGCAUAUCAAUAAGCGGAGGA